UGUAGCCACCAGUUAUGCCUACACUAAAGCUGACUUACAGGCGGCUGUGAUGGACAACAACUAUUGUCAAGUGCCAUGAAAAGAAUAAAGCAUGGAUAGAGGGAAUGAUGUUGAGGAACAAACAGCGAAGGACACUGAGCAUAGCAAGUUAUAACAAGGAAAGAGCGCAAUCUGACACAAGGAGAGACAAUGGAGGAUCACUGCUUCCAGAUUUGGAGAGAUAAUUGCAGCUACAGAGAAGGAGUAUAUGAACAAACUGUAUGAAUCAUUGUUGUGUCCAAAACCAUUGCAGACACAUGACAGUUGGACCCGGACCUGAUUUCCCCUUUUUGGAAUGUGUAUCUCGUGCACGAAUCUGGGCCUAAAGAAAACCCGCAAAUACUAUAUUCAGUUAGAAGGCCAGAUGUUCAUUACAAAUCGCCCAUUCUGCAAUUUUGUUGUGUUUACAUUCAAAGAUCUGUUUGUGGGGUUGAUCCAUUCUGACACUGGAUAUUUUUCUACAUGUAUUUUGCCCAGGAUAACUUUAUUUAAUGAAAAACACUAUAGGAAGUAUGUGUCAGCUAGUUUAUAGAAAGUACCCCUGUAUGAGAUGGUUUUAGCUGCAAUCACAAUUUUGAAGUGCCAUUAAAAAAAAAUUGUUAAUUAAAAUGAAAUAAUUUGGUGGUGCUAUAUUCUUUACAAAAAGUACUAUGUGUUUAUGCUGUUUUUAAUAAUAUUUAACUGUAAUGAAAAAAAAAUCCUAUGAUGCUAUUUGUAAAGUAUUUUCAGUGGGAUGAAAUAAUUUGAUAGUUGUAUUUACAGCAAAUAAUUUGUUUUUUCUGCUUUUUAAAGAAUUUUCAAAGUGAUGACAUAAUGUGGUGGUUCUAUUCAAGUAAAAUAAUUCAUAAGUACUAUUUUGUGAAAAGGAACAAAAAACUGUUUAUUUGUAAAAUGUUUGCUUUCUUUAAUUUUUAUUUCUUAAACUGUUACAAAAAGUUUUCCAUAUCUACAGUAAUCCAUUGGCUGAGAAAUUGCAGCUAUGUUUUCAGGAAAGUUAUUGCACAAAUAAAUUGUAUAAGUAUUA